UAUCACUGGCUACAAUAACCAGUGAUAGAUUUUCAUACUGCCGUCACAUUUCUCUGGAAUUUUUCCAGAGACGUAUAUUAUACAGCGCACCUACUGCGCCACUGUGGGUUUAUAGAAAGGAACGCUAAUAAUAAUAUGAUACAACAAAUAAGGGAGCCGGAAAAGAUGCAGCCUCUGGUCGGGUGAAUUCUACAAAUCCACCAUAAGGUGGCGCUCGAGAAUCUGUUUUUUGCGUUAGUGAAACUGGAUCUCAAUAAAAUUGUUGUUCCGCGAAGCAGUCGCGCGGGGCAUGCCGGGAUGUGUAGUUCUAUGGAUUUCAGCGUUUUUGUCCCUGGGUAGUCCUGGCAUAGUGGAACUGGAUAUUUCUCCUUAGCAGUCAGCUGUCGGCCAGCGCCCAAAAGAAGGCUGUGCCUGAAAACCAGACUCCGUAACACAUCACAUGUGAAGACAUGGCACCAACUAUGGAUAGCCGAGAAAUCUUGAAAAGAAAUAAGAUCAAAGGACAAAUGAAGACCUAUAUAUAGCUUCAUCAUCCCCUGUGAUGAUUGAGACAACGGAGUUGAUGAUUCAAUCAGAAAAGAGGGGAAUGGCGCAACAACUCCUGUCAAAUCGCCAAUAUAGAAAACCUACUUGGAACAUUUCUCAAACGAGGAAAAUUCUAAUGAUGACAACCUGCCGUUUGGACAACAAAAGCUUCCUACAAUCCAUAGACCAGAAAGCAAUACAAAAGGGAAGGAAAGUCUCCUCUCCAUCGUGCUUAAGAGGGCUAAUGCAGGGAGUCUGUAUCCACCAGAUUACCUGUAUUUUAAUAACUAUAAAUUCCAUGAAUACACCAAAGGUAUCCCAAGAAUUGCUUAAAAAGGGAUGUUUUGCAGCACUAACGUGUCAAGUGUGCAGACAUCAAAAAGCAAUGAAUUUCUUAGCAGUUUUCUGUCUGUGAAGUCUGUGCCCGGAUUCCAAACCACUAAUGAAAUUGACAAACCCUUCAGAUGCAACAUAUGCUAUAAAGCCAUAGGUAUUCUUAACGUCCAUUUGAAAACGCAUACUUAUGUCCGGCCAUAUCAGUGUAAUGAAUGUGACAACUGGAAUUUAAAAAGCUUCAGUUAUAACACAAGUCUCAUUCAGCACAAACAAAUCCACAAAGUAGACCCUGUAGAGAGUGGAAAGACACAUUCUGAGAAGAAAUGAGCCUUGCUUUUGGGGUGUUACUGUGAUGCUGCUUCCCACUUACAUAACACUUGCUAAAAUAUGAUUGUUUAUGUAAGAUAUUUGCACGGUUUCAGUAAAAUGUCACCUUGCUGAA